GGCCGUCUAGCUCAGUUGGUUAGAGCGUCGUGCUAAUAUUGCUUGUUACAGUGAUAACGCGAAGGUCUUGGGUUCGACCCCCACGAUGGCCA